UCAAGCGACUAAGUGCAUGUGGUGGAUGCCUUGGCGAUCACAGGCGAUGAAGGACGUGCAAGCCUGCGAAAAGCUCCGGGGAGCUGGCAAUGAAGCUUUGAUCCGGAGAUGUCCGAAUGGGGAAACCCACUCCGCAAGGAGUAUCCCAGACUGAAUACAUAGGUCUGUGGAAGCGAACCCGGCGAACUGAAACAUCUAAGUAGCCGGAGGAAAAGAAAUCAACCGAGAUUCCCAAAGUAGUGGCGAGCGAAAUGGGACCAGCCUGCACGAUAUAGCAUCUACGUUAGAAAAACGGAAUGGAAAGUCCGGCCACAGAGGGUGAUAGCCCCGUAUUCGAAAACCUGGGUGUGGAACUAAGCGUGCGACAAGUAGGGCGGGACACGUGAAAUCCUGUCUGAAGAUGGGGGGACCAUCCUCCAAGGCUAAAUACUCGUGAUCGACCGAUAGUGAACCAGUACCGUGAGGGAAAGGCGAAAAGAACCCCGGGAGGGGAGUGAAAUAGAUCCUGAAACCGCAUGCAUACAAACAGUGGGAGCCCCCUCGUGGGGUGACUGCGUACCUUUUGUAUAAUGGGUCAGCGACUUACGUUCAGUAGCGAGCUUAACCGAAUAGGGGAGGCGUAGGGAAACCGAGUCCGAAUAGGGCGUCUUAGUUGCUGGGCGUAGACCCGAAACCAGGUGAUCUAUCCAUGGCCAGGAUGAAGGUGCGGUAACACGCACUGGAGGUCCGAACCCACUAACGUUGAAAAGUUAGGGGAUGAGCUGUGGAUAGGGGUGAAAGGCUAAACAAACCUGGAAAUAGCUGGUUCUCCCCGAAAACUAUUUAGGUAGUGCCUCAAGUAUCACUCUCGGGGGUAGAGCACUGUAAUCGUUGGGGGGGUCAUUGCGAUCUACCCCGCGAUAGCAAACUCCGAAUACCGAGAAGUGCCAGCUUGGGAGACAGACAUCGGGUGCUAACGUCCGGUGUCAAGAGGGAAACAACCCAGACCGCCAGCUAAGGUCCCAAAUGAUAUGCUAAGUGGGAAACGAAGUGGGAAGGCAUAGACAGCCAGGAGGUUGGCUUAGAAGCAGCCAUCCUUUAAAGAAAGCGUAAUAGCUCACUGGUCGAGUCGUCCUGCGCGGAAGAUGUAACGGGGCUCAAGCAUAUAACCGAAGCUGCGGAUGUCCUUGUGACAUGGUAGGGGAGCGUUCUGUAAGCCUGCGAAGGUGUCUCGUAAGGGAUGCUGGAGGUAUCAGAAGUGCGAAUGCUGACAUGAGUAGCGAUAAAGCGGGUGAAAAGCCCGCUCGCCGAAAGCCCAAGGUUUCCUACGCAACGUUCAUCGGCGUAGGGUGAGUCGGCCCCUAAGGCGAGGCUGAAAAGCGUAGUCGAUGGGAAACAGGUCAAUAUUCCUGUACCUCGCUGUAAUGCGAUGGGGGGACGGAGAAGGUUAGGCCAGCCAUCUGUUGGAAUAGGUGGUUUAAGCGUGUAGGGAGAUCCUCUAGGCAAAUCCGGAGGGUCAAUCCUGAGGCGUGAUGACGAGUCUGCUUGCAGACGAAGUGGUUGAUACCCAGCUUCCAAGAAAAGCCUCUAAGCUUCAGUUACAGCGGGACCGUACCGCAAACCGACACAGGUGGGCAGGAUGAAAAUUCUAAGGCGCUUGAGAGAACUCAGCAGAAGGAACUCGGCAAAUUUGCACCGUAACUUCGGGAGAAGGUGCGCCUCAAUAAGGUGUAGUCCCUCGCGGGCGAAGCCGUAAGAGGUUGCAGUGAAAUGGUGGCUGCGACUGUUUAAUAAAAACACAGCACUCUGCAAACACGAAAGUGGACGUAUAGGGUGUGACGCCUGCCCGGUGCCGGAAGGUUAAGUGAUGGGGUGCAAGCUCUUGAUCGAAGCCCCGGUAAACGGCGGCCGUAACUAUAACGGUCCUAAGGUAGCGAAAUUCCUUGUCGGGUAAGUUCCGACCUGCACGAAUGGCGUAACGAUGGCCACACUGUCUCCUGCUGAGACUCAGCGAAAUUGAAAUGUUUGUGAAGAUGCAAUCUCCCCGCGGCUAGACGGAAAGACCCCAUGAACCUUUACUGUAGCUUUGCAUUGGACUGUGAACCGAUCUGUGUAGGAUAGGUGGGAGGCUAUGAAACCAGGACGCUAGUUCUGGUGGAGCCGUCCUUGAAAUACCACCCUGGUUUGUUUGCGGUUCUAACCUAGGCCCCUGAAUCGGGGUCGGGGACAGUGCAUGGUGGGCAGUUUGACUGGGGCGGUCUCCUCCUAAAGGGUAACGGAGGAGUACGAAGGUACGCUUAGAACGGUCGGAAAUCGUUCGCAAAGUGCAAUGGCAAAAGCGUGCUUGACUGCGAGACCCACAAGUCGAGCAGGUGCGAAAGCAGGUCAUAGUGAUCCGGUGGUUCUGUAUGGAAGGGCCAUCGCUCAACGGAUAAAAGGUACUCUGGGGAUAACAGGCUGAUACCGCCCAAGAGUUCAUAUCGACGGCGGUGUUUGGCACCUCGAUGUCGGCUCAUCUCAUCCUGGGGCUGUAGCCGGUCCCAAGGGUAUGGCUGUUCGCCAUUUAAAGAGGUACGUGAGCUGGGUUUAAAACGUCGUGAGACAGUUUGGUCCCUAUCUGCCGUGGGCGCUGGAAGUUUGAGAGGGCCUGCUCCUAGUACGAGAGGACCGGAGUGGACAUUCCUCUGGUGUACCGGUUGUGACGCCAGUCGCAUCGCCGGGUAGCUAAGAAUGGAAGAGAUAACCGCUGAAAGCAUCUAAGCGGGAAACUCGCCUCAAGAUGAGACUUCCCUGGAGACUCGAUCUCCCUCAAGGGUCGUUCAAGACCAGGACGUUGAUAGGCUGGGUGUGGAAGCGCAGUAAUGCGUUAAGCUAACCAGUACUAAUUGCCCGUGAGGCUUGAUCCU
rnacentral:rRNA from 1 species